rnacentral:lncRNA from 1 species
GUGGCGAACAGAUGGCAGAGAUAGAAGUACAGGGGAAACAAAUGGCAACAGAAACAUUGCAACGUGCUCAACUACAGUAUCUUUGGAGGUACCAUGCUACUUCAUUGGUGAAAGAAGUUUUAAUUGAGGGCUCUGCAAAGGCCAAGGAAACACACAGUGCUACAGAAUGCAUGGCUAGUAAGCUGAAUGUUGGCACAUUACAGAAAGUGGGCACAGAAUGGUCUCUCUAUCCUGAGGUUCAGGAAAUGAUGUGGGUGCAGUGUGAUUUGUGCAAGGGCUGGCUGCACACUGAUUGUGCUGGAGUGUCAGGAGCUGACAUAAAAAGUGGGUCCUUUACAUGUGGCUAUGAAAUUACACAGCCAUAUACAUGUGACAGGUAUGCAAUUGCACGUUGGCACUGUUAAAUGUUAAAUAAUGAUCUACAUGUUGAUCUCCUUUGCACCAUGACAUGUUUCUUCUUUCUGUUUGUGCUUGGAUCAAAAAGUAUGUAUCUCUAUUUCACAGCACCUUAAGCACUCUUUUGAAGUAUGGCUUGGAGGCUGUGGUACCUGAUGAGGAAAUUAGAGUAUGUACUGUUUGUGGUGAUUUAUUAUUAUUCCCUAACUACCUGUGAUUUAUACAUAAUCUUUCUUAGGCCUUGCAUGGGGCUCUUACUAAGGGAAAAACGGUCCAGUCGCUGGUACCUGUGGAACAAUCCAAACACCUCUGUAAAAUUGAAGCAGUGCCUCAAACCAAAGACAAGCAACUUCAGUGAUGAUUUGGUAAGUGAGGUCAUUAAAGUUCCAUAUAAUAAUGCUGUACUUUAGUCUACUGUUUAAUAAGUGUUAUAUUUAACUAGAAAAGGCAAAGUUCGUGAACGAAUUUUAAGUUGGCUUGUCA